rnacentral:rRNA from 1 species
UACGUAGGGCGCAAGCGUUGUUCGGAAUUAUUGGGCGUAAAGAGCUCGUAGGCGGCUUGUCGCGUCGGAUGUGAAAGCCCGGGGCUUAACUCCGGGUCUGCAUUCGAUACGGGCAGGCUAGAGUUCGGUAGGGGAGAUCGGAAUUCCUGGUGUAGCGGUGGAAAUGCGCAGACUAUCAGGAGGAGCACCGGUGGCGAAGGCGGAUCUCUGGGGCCGAUACUGACGCUGAGGAGCGAAAGCGUGGGGAGCGAACAGG